rnacentral:rRNA from 1 species
GGACCCGCACAAGUAGUGGAGCAUGUGGUUUAAUUCGAAGAUACGCGCAGAACCUUACCAACACUUGACAUGUUCGUCGCGACUUUGAGAGAUCAAAGUUUUCGGUUCGGCCGGACGAAACACAGGUGCUGCAUGGCUGUCGUCAGCUCGUGUCGUGAGAUGUUGGGUUAAGUCCCGCAACGAGCGCAACCCUCACUUUUAGUUGCCAUCAUUUAGUUGGGCACUCUGAAAGAACUGCCAGUGAUAAGCUGGAGGAAGGUGGGGAUGACGUCAAGUCCUCAUGGCCCUUACGUGUUGGGCUACACACGUGCUACAAUGGUAUCUACAACAGGAAGCAAAACUGCGAAGUUAAGCAAAUCCUUAAAAGAUACCUCAGUUCGGAUUGCACUCUGCAACUCGAGUGCAUGAAGCUGGAAUUACUAGUAAUCGUGGAUC